CGGUAGUCGAGUUGAAGCGACGAAGGGACUAUAAAUAAACCGAAUCACAACGGCCGAAAAAUCGCUGCCAAAAUGUCGACCGAGACCGUGACAGUGACAUUCAACCGUUUAUAAGUUGAAGGUGCGUUACCAAGCAACUGCCUCCUCCCCGAAUAUAAGGGGGUGUUCUAGGAACGCUAUUUCCGAUUAAUCCGGCCGUAUUUCCUCGUACCGGUAGUGAAAUAAAAUAUGUUACACCCAGCAACUAGCUCAAUGGAUUCGCUUUGCCGCUGGUGGCUCAAGCGUGGUACAGUACGGACGGUACUAGCCUGCCUCAGGCGAUGCUACGAACGGCACAACACUGUCCAGCGUGAGUUCAUCGCUGUACCGGUGCUCCGGUGAAGCCAGCUGUAAAAUGUAACCAGCAACAGAAAUAAACCCCGAAAACAAAACUAACGGUGCGUUUAGAGGAGGAAAAGCGAAGCUUCUUUCGAGGAAGAAGGCCAUGGAGACGCCCAGUAGUUUGUGAAGUGAUGGGAAGGAUUGAUUCCAAUUGGAUUUAGAAGUAAGGCUCAGUAAUGCGGGGAGGAGUGUUAGUUUCGACGGAAAUAGUUUUCUUCAAUAAAGAGCCCGUAUUGUGGAGCGAAAACUGAAAA